rnacentral:lncRNA from 1 species
CCUUUGCCUGAGUUCUCUUCAUAAGAAUCCAAGACCCUCUCAUUAUUACCAAAAUCUUCCUUUAUUGUAUUCUUUUUUACAUGAAGAUAAUCAGAUCCUACCUUUAUCUUUAUGGAUUAUUCAAAGAAAAGCGCUGCAAGAGAUUUAUAAUAGUUAUCUUUUAGUAUAUGAAAUUUGCAAUGUUUAACUUUUAGAGCCGGCAAACUUCUCAUACGC